AAUUCUGACUUGGUCCUACCCUUGUGUUCCUGUUGGGUCAGACUCUGGUAUGUCUCAAUUUUGAGCUCAAUGCUCUUUUUCCUAUGGUGUGGUGUGGUGGCAGUUUAAUGCACACCUAAAUUCUGAAUUUCCAGAGCUAUCUGGUCACUAGCCAGGGGAUUUUGUGCACUUGGCUUUGGAGGCCAAACUGUCACACCAAGGAAAAGAAAAGAAACAUGUCUACUCAUCUGUGUCUGAAAUCUGCCAAGUGUAAGAUGUUCAGAAGUCGCCUAGCCUGCCUCGGACACAAGGCUGGGCCCUCACCUGUCUUGAGCUGUGAGUCCUUUAAAUAUCCUCAGGGAACAAGAAUGUGUGUCCUCUCUUCAUCUGAAAUUGCUAGUCAAGGGAGAAGAGCAUCAUUCAGUCCGGAAGUCUCCAGUUCUGUGAGUAAAGGUAAGCUCUCUUUUCAUAUUUACUCAGAGAUUCUGGACCACAUUUGAAAUGAACUCGAAUUCUCAAGCCCUUGGUCACCUUUCUCCAAUCUCUCUCUAGGAGUCUUGGGGUACAUACCCUGCCAACGCCUGUGCUGGGGCUUAGGAAAGAGGUUUGGAUAUAUAGUCUAUAUGCCCCCAGAGAGUACACACUUAUGUGAAGGUGAGUGUGGCGGUCUGCUAAAAGGACAGAGACCUAGACUGUGCCUCCCUUUCCUUCAUCUCCCUUUGUUCCCCAAUGUAUGUCAUGGUAAUAAAAUAUUUCUGGCA
rnacentral:lncRNA from 1 species